rnacentral:rRNA from 1 species
AGAAUCAACGCUGGCGGCGUGCCUAACACAUGCAAGUCGAACGAGAAAGUGGAGCAAUCCAUGAGUAAAGAGGCGCACGGGUGAGUAACACGUGACUAACCUACCCUCGAGUGGGGAAUAACCUGGGGAAACCCGGGCUAAUACCGCAUAACACCUACGGGUCAAAGGAGCAAUUCGCUUGAGGAGGGGUCGCGGCAGAUUAGUUAGUUGGCGGGGUAAUGGCCCACCAAGACGAUGAUCUGUA